GGCUGGGUAGCUCAGUCGGUAGAGCAAGGGAAUCAUAAUCCUUUGGUCGGGGGUUCAAAUCCCUCCCCAGCUACCA
rnacentral:tRNA from 2 species